rnacentral:rRNA from 1 species
AUACGUAGGGGGCGAGCGUUGUCCGGAAUGAUUGGGCGUAAAGGGCGCGUAGGCGGCCCGGUAAGUCUGGAGUGAAAGUCCUGUUUUUAAGAUGGGAAUUGCUUUGGAUACUGUCGAGCUUGAGUGCAGGAGAGGUAAGUGGAAUUCCCGGUGUAGCGGUGAAAUGCGUAGAGAUCGGGAGGAACACCAGUGGCGAAGGCGGCCUGCUGGACGACAACUGACGCUGAGGCGCGAAAGCGUGGGGAGCAAACAGGAUUAGAUACCCUGGUAGUCCACGCUGUAAACGAUGAAUACUAGGUGUGGGGGGACUGACCCCCUCCGUGCCGCAGUUAACACAAUAAGUAUUCCACCUGGGGAGUACGAUCGCAAGAUUGAAACUCAAAGGAAUUGACGGGG